UACGGAGGGUGCAAGCGUUGCUCGGAAUUAUUGGGCGUAAAGCGUAUGUAGGCGGUUUUCUAAGUCUGAUGUGAAAUCCCGGGGCUCAACCCCGGAACUGCAUUGGAUACUGGAAAGCUAGAGGACGAUAGAGGAUGGUGGAAUUCCAGGUGGAGGGGUGAAAUCCGUAGAUAUCUGGAGGAACAUCAGUGGCGAAGGCGGCCAUCUGGAUCGUA
rnacentral:rRNA from 1 species